rnacentral:rRNA from 1 species
UACGUAGGGGGCAAGCGUUGUCCGGAUUUAUUGGGCGUAAAGAGCGUGUAGGCGGCCGUACAGGUCAGCUGUGAAAACUCGAGGCUCAACCUCGAGACGUCGGUUGAAACCGUACGGCUAGAGUCCGGAAGAGGAGAGUGGAAUUCCCGGUGUAGCGGUGAAAUGCGCAGAUAUCGGGAAGAACACCCGUGGCGAAGGCGGCCGGCUGGGCCGACCCUGACACUGAGGCGCGAAGGCGUGGGGAGCGAACGGG